GACGAACCUUGCUAACGUUAUUCGGAAUUACUGGGCUUAAAGGGUGCGUAGGCGGUGCAGCAAGUCGGGUGUGAAAGCCCUCAGCUCAACUGAGGAAGUGCGCCCGAAACUGCAGAGCUUGAGUGCCGGAGAGGGUGGCGGAAUUCCCCAAGUAGAGGUGAAAUUCGUAGAUAUGGGGAGGAACACCGGUGGCGAAGGCGGCCACCUGGACGGUAACUGACGCUGAGACGCGAAAGCGUGGGGAGCAAACAGG
rnacentral:rRNA from 1 species